AGAGUCACUCCUACGGGAGGCAGCAGUGGGGAAUUUUGGACAAUGGGGGCAACCCUGAUCCAGCAAUGCCGCGUGUGUGAAGAAGGCCUUCGGGUUGUAAAGCACUUUUGUCCGGAAAGAAAACCGCUUCUCUAAUACAGAGGCGGGAUGACGGUACCGGAAGAAUAAGCACCGGCUAACUACGUGCCAGCAGCCGCGGUAAUACGUAGGGUGCAAGCGUUAAUCGGAAUUACUGGGCGUAAAGCGUGCGCAGGCGGUUCGCUAAGACCGAUGUGAAAUCCCCGGGCUUAACCUGGGAACUGCAUUGGUGACUGGCGGGCUAGAGUAUGGCAGAGGGGGGUAGAAUUCCACGUGUAGCAGUGAAAUGCGUAGAGAUGUGGAGGAAUACCGAUGGCGAAGGCAGCCCCCUGGGCCAAUACUGACGCUCAUGCACGAAAGCGUGGGGAGCAAACAGGAUUAGAUACCCUGGUAGUCCACGCCCUAAACGAUGUCAACUAGUUGUCGGGUCUUCAUUGACUUGGUAACGAAGCUAACGCGUGAAGUUGACCGCCUGGGGAGUACGGUCGCAAGAUUAAAACUCAAAGGAAUUGACG
rnacentral:rRNA from 1 species